GGAGGGGUGGCCGAGCGGUCAAUGGCAACAGACUGUAAAUCUGUCGACGAAUGUCUACGUUGGUUCAAAUCCAACUCCCUCCACCA
rnacentral:tRNA from 1 species